rnacentral:rRNA from 1 species
GAUGAACGCUGGCGGCGUGCCUAAUACAUGCAAGUCGAGCGAACGGACGAGAAGCUUGCUUCUCUGAUGUUAGCGGCGGACGGGUGAGUAACACGUGGAUAACCCACCUAUAAGACUGGGAUAACUUCGGGAAACCGGAGCUAAUACCGGAUAAUAUUUUGAACCGCAUGGUUCAAAAGUGAAAGACGGUCUUGCUGUCACUUAUAGAUGGAUCCGCGCUGCAUUAGCUAGUUGGUAAGGUAACGGCUUACCAAGGCAACGAUGCAUAGCCGACCUGAGAGGGUGAUCGGCCACACUGGAACUGAGACACGGUCCAGACUCCUACGGGAGGCAGCAGUAGGGAAUCUUCCGCGAUGGGCGAAAGCCUGACGGAGCAACGCCGCGUGAGUGAUGAAGGUCUUCGGAUCGUAAAACUCUGUUAUUAGGGAAGAACAUAUGUGUAAGUAACUGUGCACAUCUUGACGGUACCUAAUCAGAAAGCCACGGCUAACUACGUG